rnacentral:rRNA from 1 species
CUUCACUACAACUUUGCAUUGAUUUUGAAUUUUUGAUGUGUAGGAUAGUUGGGAGACUUUGAAGUUGUGUCGCCAGGCAUGAUGGAGUCAACGUUGAAAUACCAACCUUUAAACAUUUAGAAUCUAAUCCCUAACGGGAAACAGUGCAUGGUGGGUAGUUUGACUGGGGUGGUCGCCUCCUAAAGUGUAACGGAGGCUUGCAAAGGUUCCCUCAGUACGGUUGGUAAUCGUACAUAGAGCGUAUUAGUAUAAGGGAGCUUGACUGUGAGACUUACAAGUCGAGCAGGGACGAAAGUCGGCUAAAGUGAUCCGGCGGUUCUGUAUGGAAGGGCCGUCGCUCAAAGGAUAAAAGGUA